rnacentral:rRNA from 1 species
UGGAUCCAGACUUUGAUUAUGGCUCAGGACGAACGCUGGCGGCGUGCCUAACACAUGCAAGUCGAACGGAACUAUUUUAAAAGAUUUCUUCGGAAUGAUUUUGGCUUAGUUUAGUGGCGGACGGGUGAGUAACGCGUGAGUAACCUGCCUUCAAGAGGGGGAUAACGUUCUGAAAAGGACGCUAAUACCGCAUAACAUAUCGGAAUCGCAUGGUUCUGAUAUCAAAGAUUUUAUCGCUUGAAGAUGGACUCGCGUCCGAUUAGUUAGUUGGUGAGGUAACGGCUCACCAAGACCGCGAUCGGUAGCCGGACUGAGAGGUUGAACGGCCACAUUGGGACUGAGACACGGCCCAGACUCCCACGGGAGGCAGCAGUGGGGGAUAUUGCGCAAUGGGGGCAACCCUGACGCAGCAACGCCGCGUGAAGGAUGAAGGUUUUCGGAUUGUAAACUUCUUUUCUUAAGGACGAAAAUUGACGGUACUUAAGGAAUAAGCUCCGGCUAACUACGUGCCAGCAGCCGCGGUAAUACGUAGGGAGCAAGCGUUGUCCGGAUUUACUGGGUGUAAAGGGUGCGUAGGCGGCAAUGCAAGUCAGAUGUGAAAUCUAUGGGCUCAACCCAUAAACUGCAUUUGAAACUGCGUUGCUUGAGUGAAGUAGAGGCAGGCGGAAUUCCCCGUGUAGCGGUGAAAUGCGUAGAGAUGGGGAGGAACACCAGUGGCGAAGGCGGCCUGCUGGGCUUUAACUGACGCUGAGGCACGAAAGCGUGGGUAGCAAACAGGAUUAGAUACCCUGGUAGUCCACGCUGUAAACGAUGAUUACUAGGUGUGGGGGGUCUGACCCCUUCCGUGCCGGGGUUAACACAAUAAGUAAUCCACCUGGGGAGUACGGCCGCAAGGUUGCAACUCAAAUGAAUUGACGGA